rnacentral:rRNA from 1 species
AUGGCGCCGGGAUCAAGCUCACAGGGCCGGCAUGGCAAGGAGACGACGGAGGAGCUGCUAGCCAGGUUGAAUUUGCAGGAGGAGGAAGAUGAUGAUUUCGUGUGGGAGGAGGAGUUACCGGAUCUGGGGGCGCCGGCGAAGUGGCUAGCCAUAGCCAGGGUACACACUACAAGGACUUUCAGCCCUAAUGCUCUUUAUGGGGACAUGCGUGCAGCCUGGAAUCCAGCAAAACGGGUCUGGAGGAAGGUGAAGGACAACUUGUUCAUAGCGCAGUUUGGUUGUCUAGGGGAUUGG